CACGUAGGGCGCGAGCGUUGUCCGGAAUUAUUGGGCGUAAAGAGCUCGUAGGCGGCCUGUUGCGUCCGCUGUGAAAGCCCGGGGCUUAACCCCGGGUCGGCAGUGGAUACGGGCAGGCUAGAGUUCGGCAGGGGAGACUGGAAUUCCUGGUGUAGCGGUGGAAUGCGUAGAGAUCCGGAGGAAGACCGGUGGCGAAGGCGGUCUGCUGGGCAGUUUCUGACACUGAUGCGCGACAGCGUGGGGAGCAAACAGG
rnacentral:rRNA from 1 species